rnacentral:RNase_P_RNA from 1 species
CUAUAUUGUUAGGCAACCGCUGGUGUCGCACGACACGAGAGGAAAGUCCGGGCAGCAUAGAGCAACGACAGUCGCUAACGGCGACCGGAGGCAACUCUAGGGAAAGUGCCACAGAAACGAUACCGCCCGCGCCGCGAGGCAACGGUAAGGGUGAAAGGAGUGCGGUAAGAGCGCACAGCGACGUAUGGUGACAUACGAAGAAGGUAAACCCUGUCGGCUGCAAGGAGGCUUGAACACUGGCUGCUCGUCAGCAGGCCGUUAGAACCCGCUAGAUUACGUUGGCAACAGCGUGGCUAGAUAGAUGGUUGCCCACGACUAAACCCGGCUUACGGCAAUAUAGCUUU